rnacentral:ncRNA from 1 species
UAUUAAUAUUUUCACUCAUAUAAUGGCGGGAAUAUGGCUCGCAAGUUUCUACCGACUUACCGUAAAUAAGUCGACUAUGAGAGGCAACGUUU